CCUCCCCUUCCUGCAGGGGGGGGGUUGCUUUCUGCUAUUGCAAAGGCUGCCUUGCUCUCUUCCACGGGGAUCUGACGCUGCUUACUCCUUUGGGAAGGGCAAUCCUCUCCUGGGAUCUGGUGACAGAACGGUGAUGGCAAGACCUCUUCAUCCAUCUCUGAAUGGGGACAGAAUGGAAGCAGCGGCUGUGGAACCAGAUCAGGGUCCAGUGUGCUUUGAAGAUAUUGCUGUUUGUUUCACGGAUGAGGAG